AUACGGAGGGUGCAAGCGUUACUCGGAAUCACUGGGCGUAAAGCGCGCGCAGGCGGGCUGAUAAGUUGGAUGUGAAAGCCUACGGCUCAACCGUAGAACUGCAUCCAAAACUGUCAGUCUAGAGUGUGGGAGAGGAAGAUGGAAUUAGUUGUGUAGGGGUAAAAUCCGUAGAGAUAUCUAGGAAUACCAAAAGCGAAGGCAAUCUUCUGGAACACUACUGACGCUCAGGCGCGGAGGCGUGGGGAGCAAACAGGAUUAGAAACCCCGGUAGUCC
rnacentral:rRNA from 1 species